CAGUCAAGCUUCCUCUGAGACCCUGAGAUACUGGUGUGAACAAGCUCCUAGGAUGCUGGGAUCCUGAAAUCCUUAGUUCCUUGGUGUGUUACAGCCUCUGGAAUUGGUACCUCCUCUGGGGACUGUGGGGCUAUCUGCUGUAUUCAAAACCAAUGUAUACCAGAGAAGACCAGAAGGAACCCAAACUGCGUGUCAGGAGGUAUGAUCAAGGUCCCAGAACUGUUCUACUCAUGAUCUGGGAUUAGAAGCUGUUCAUUUUCUUCUUGUAGAAAGUGCUUGGCAGUUAAUCUUAGGGCCUGACAAUCAAAGUUGGUGGAUGAAAAUGAAGAGAUGAAUUGCUAGCAGUGUAACUCAGAACACAGCAGCUGCAAGAUGGUCAGAGAAAAAAACCCAUUUGCAGCCAAGAUGUUACAUUAGAAGCAUCUAAGAAGGAAAGCCAUGAGUCAGAUCUGAACUUCACAUUUUUCUCCUAAACAGCAAAGAACAGAAAGCAUCUGAAUUUGGGGCAGAAAAAAAUGUCAUCCAUGCUCCCUUUGCUUGCAUAUACAAUUAAGGUUGUAGUGUAAAUUGUAAUGAGUACAUGAAAAGUGGCAUAACGAUAUUAUCAAGUUGGUUCCAACAGCAAACUUGAUAUAUAGAUGGAGGCAUAUAGUUGUUAUAAACUGUAGGACAAAGAUGGAGAAGACCCUGAGGGAAAGGAAGUCCAGUGACAGGUCCAAAUUGGGAUCAAGCACAGGGGAGGCUCCAAGGCCUAACACUAUUACUGAUGCUAUGGUGUGCUAACAGACAGAAGCCUAGGAUGACUGACCUCUAAGAGACCCAACAAGCAGCUGAAAAGACAGAUGCAGAUACUUGCACCCAAUUAAUGGACAGAAGCUGGAGAUCCCUGUGGUUGAUUUAGGGAAAAGCUGAAAGAAGCUGAGGAGGAGGACAACCCCUUAAGAAGACCAGCAGUCUCAACUAACCUCCACCUUGGGGACCACUGAGACAGUGAGCCACCAACCAAGCAGCAUACACCAGCUGAUGCGAAGCCCCAACACAUUUACAGCAAAGGACUACCCAAUCUGGCCUCAGUGAGAGAAGAUGCACCUAACCCUCUAGAGACUGGAGACCUCAAGGAGUGGGGAGGUCUGGUGGGGUGUGUGUUGUGGCAUGGAGACAUCCUCUUGUUGAUGGGGGAAGAGCUGUGGAAUGAGAAACUUCAGAGGGAAGACAGGAAAGGAAUAACAACUGGACUGUAAUAAAAAGAUUAAAGAAUAAUAAUUUUAAAAAU
rnacentral:lncRNA from 1 species